rnacentral:rRNA from 1 species
CUUUAAUUGAUAUGAAGAGCUUGCUCUGAUUUGAUUUUAUCUGACAAAGAGUGGCGAACGGGUGAGUAACACGUGGGUAACCUACCCCUUAGCAGGGGAUAACAUUUGGAAACAAGUGCUAAUACCGUAUAACACUAACAACCGCAUGGUUGUUAGUUGAAAGGUGGUUCUGCUAUCACUAAGAGAUGGACCCGCGGUGCAUUAGCUAGUUGGUAAGGUAAUGGCUUACCAAGGCGAUGAUGCGUAGCCGAGUUGAGAGACUGAUCGGCCACAAUGGGACUGAGACACGGCCCAUACUCCUACGGGAGGCAGCAGUAGGGAAUCUUCCACAAUGGGCGCAAGCCUGAUGGAGCAACGCCGCGUGUGUGAUGAAGGGUUUCGGCUCGUAAAACACUGUUAUAAGAGAAGAACGACAUUGAGAGUAACUGUUCAGUGUGUGACGGUAUCUUAUCAGAAAGGAACGGCUAAAUACGUGCCAGCAGCCGCGGUAAUACGUAUGUUCCAAGCGUUAUCCGGAUUUAUUGGGCGUAAAGCGAGCGCAGACGGUUAUUUAAGUCUGAAGUGAAAGCCCUCAGCUCAACUGAGGAAGGGCUUUGGAAACUGGAUAACUUGAGUGCAGUAGAGGAAAGUGGAACUCCAUGUGUAGCGGUGAAAUGCGUAGAUAUAUGGAAGAACACCGGUGGCGAAAGCGGCUUUCUGGACUGUAACUGACGUUGAGGCUCGAAAGUGUGGGUAGCAAACAGGAUUAGAUACCCUGGUAGUCCACA